rnacentral:rRNA from 1 species
UAGGGAAUCUUCCGCAAUGGGCGAAAGCCUGACGGAGCAACGCCGCGUGAGUGAUGAAGGUCUUCGGAUCGUAAAACUCUGUUAUUAGGGAAGAACAAAUGUGUAAGUAACUAUGCACGUCUUGACGGUACCUAAUCAGAAAGCCACGGCUAACUACGUGCCAGCAGCCGCGGUAAUACGUAGGUGGCAAGCGUUAUCCGGAAUUAUUGGGCGUAAAGCGCGCGUAGGCGGUUUUUUAAGUCUGAUGUGAAAGCCCACGGCUCAACCGUGGAGGGUCAUUGGGAACUGGAAAACUUGAGUGCAGAAGAGGAAAGUGGAAUUCCAUGUGUAGCGGUGAAAUGCGCAGAGAUAUGGAGGAACACCAGUGGCGAAGGCGACUUUCUGGUCUGUAACUGACGCUGAUGGGCGAAAGCGUGGGGAUCAAACAGG